rnacentral:rRNA from 1 species
CCCUACGGGGGGCAGCAGUGAGGAAUAUUGGUCAAUGGCCGGAAGGCUGAACCAGCCAAGCCGCGUGAGGGAGGAAGGCGCAGAGCGUCGCAGACCUCUUUUGCCGGGGAGCAAAAAGCGGUACGUGUACCGCAUCGAGAGUACCCGGAGAAAAAGCAUCGGCUAACUCCGUGCCAGCAGCCGCGGUAAUACGGAGGAUGCGAGCGUUAUCCGGAUUUAUUGGGUUUAAAGGGUGCGCAGGCGGCGAGUUAAGUCAGCGGUAAAAUUUCGGGGCUCAACCCCGACAAGCCGUUGAAACUGGCUUG